ACUGUAUUUAUGUGAUGAAUAAUAAUUUAGUGAUAGGAAUUAAUUCUGUUUAGAUACAAAACAUAUAACGGGCAAAUAGUAAUAUGGAUCCCACAAAUCUGGUCCGGGUUUCUACACAGAGCAGUUUCCCAUGACAGCAGGUACCAUGGAUGCCCUUUCAUCACAUAGUAUUGCUGCCAUGGCAAUGAAUAUGCCAGGAAGUCCUGAAGAGGCCAUGUCAAUGAUGCAGCAAGGAGGUAUGGGGAAUCUAGUUGCCAUGCAGCAAAAUAUGUUAGC